GUGAUAUUGGUGAAACGGUUAUCACAAAAGCUUGUGGUGCUUUUGUCGAGGGUUCGACUCCCUCAUAUCACC
rnacentral:tRNA from 1 species